CGGAGCAAAAAUAAACCUACUGUACUCCCAGAAGACGCGUACUUUCGCCUUAUUGCACGCGAAAAGGAAAAUGAUCCCGUGUAUUAUUUCCAGGUACCGUUACUUGAAGCUGCUGCCGGGUAGAAGAAACUGAGCAAGCUACGUGCGCAUAUGCCCACUGAUGUAGCCUGGAGAGAUGGCCAUUUCUGGGCACACCAUCCUUCCUGGCCAAGUCGCGUGGAAAGGCAUCCAAGACACGCUUGGCCUUGGAUCACUUGCUGAAAGAAGACCAAGGAGGGGGCAUCUCUUUUGCAUGGUUUCUCGUGACAGUGAGAGUAUAUCAGCCCUGCAGGAGCAGCAAGCUGAUGAACAGAGCCACAACCUACGAAGAAGUUCUGGGGACCGUUUCGAAAACAGCAGAAGUGUAAGGGAACGUUUUACUUGGUAACCAGAUACACUUAAUGUACUUUGCAACUCUAAGAUGUUGUUUUGAUCGCUGCAGAUUCAACACACUUCAUAGAUUUUUCCACCCUUUCUCUGUAUGUACAAUAAAUGUUCGAUCCUCUA